rnacentral:rRNA from 1 species
UACGUAGGCAGCGAGCGUUGUUCGGAGUUACUGGGCGUAAAGAGUGCGUAGGCGGCGGCCUAAGUCUGGUGUGAAAUCUCCCGGCUCAACUGGGAGGGUGCGCCGGAAACUGGGUUGCUAGAGUGUGGGAGAGGUAAGCGGAAUUCCUGGUGUAGCGGUGAAAUGCGUAGAUAUCAGGAGGAACACCUGCGGUGUAGACGGCUUACUGGACCACCACUGACGCUGAGGCACGAAAGCGUGGGGAGCAAACAGG